rnacentral:rRNA from 1 species
GAUGAACGCUGGCGGCGUGCUUAACACAUGCAAGUCGAACGAAGCACUUUAUUACAAUUUCUUCGGAAUGACGAUUUAGUGACUGAGUGGCGGACGGGUGAGUAACGCGUGGGUAACCUGCCUUAUACAGGGGGAUAACAGUUAGAAAUGACUGCUAAUACCGCAUAAGCGCACAGGAUUGCAUGAUCUGGUGUGAAAAACUCCGGUGGUAUAAGAUGGACCCGCGUCUGAUUAGCUGGUUGGUGAGGUAACGGCCCACCAAGGCGACGAUCAGUAGCCGACCUGAGAGGGUGACCGGCCACAUUGGGACUGAGACACGGCCCAAACUCCUACGGGAGGCAGCAGUGGGGAAUAUUGCACAAUGGGGGAAACCCUGAUGCAGCGACGCCGCGUGAGCGAAGAAGUAUUUCGGUAUGUAAAAGCUCUAUCAGCAGGGAAGAAAAAAAUGACGGUACCUGACUAAGAAGCCCCGGCUAACUACGUGCCAGCAG